AACGAACGCUGGCGGCAUGCCUAACACAUGCAAGUCGAACGAGACCUUCGGGUCUAGUGGCGCACGGGUGCGUAACGCGUGGGAACCUGCCCUUAGGUUCGGAAUAACUCCCCGAAAGGGGUGCUAAUACCGGUUAAUCUCUUCGGACCAAAGAUUUAUCGCCUUUGGAUGGGCCCGCGUUGGAUUAGCUAGUUGGUAGGGUAAAAGCCUACCAAGGCGACGAUCCAUAGCUGGUCUGAGAGGAUGAGCAGCCACACUGGCACUGAGACACGGCCCAGACUCGGACGGGAGGAAGGAGUGGGGAAUAUAGGAGGAGGGGCGAAAGACUGAUAAAGCAAUGCCGGGUGAGUGAUGAAGGCCGUAGGGUUGUAAAGCUGUUUUAGACGGGAUGAUAAUGACAGUAACGGGAGAAUAAGCACCGGCUAACUACGUG
rnacentral:rRNA from 1 species